rnacentral:rRNA from 1 species
AUUGAACGCUGGCGGCAUGCCUUACACAUGCAAGUCGAACGGCAGCACGGGGGCAACCCUGGUGGCGAGUGGCGAACGGGUGAGUAAUACAUCGGAACGUGCCCAGUAGUGGGGGAUAGCCCGGCGAAAGCCGGAUUAAUGCCGCAUACGACCUAUGGGUGAAAGCGGGGGGUCGCACGACCUCGAGCUAUUCGAGCGGGCGUUGGCGGAUUAGGUUGUUGGUGGGGUAAAAGCCUACCAAGCCGACGAUCUGUAGCUGGGCUGAGAGGACGACCAGCCACACUGGGACUGAGACACGGCCCAGACUCCUACGGGAGGCAGCAGUGGGGAAUUUUGGACAAUGGGGGCAACCCUGAUCCAGCCAUGCCGCGUGCGGGAAGAAGGCCUUCGGGUUGUAAACCGCUUUUGUCAGGGAAGAAAUCUCUUGGGCUAAUACCCCAGAAGGAUGACGGUACCUGAAGAAUAAGCACCGGCUAACUACGUGCCAGCCGCCGCGGUAACAC